AUAACUAAGCGGAGGAAAAGAAACUAACCAGGAUUCCCCCAGUAACGGCGAGUGAAGCGGGAAGAGCUCGUGAUGUAAACCCGGCCCUCCGGGUCGGGGUUGUAGUCUGGAGAGGUGUUGCCAGCCGGCGGCGGGGUCGAAGUCUCUUGGAAAAGGGCAUCAAGGAGGGUGACAAUCCCGUUCCGGUCCCCGCUCGUCGUGCGCACGGCGCGCUUUCUACGAGUCGAGUUGCUUGGGAUUGCAGCUCAAAGCGGGUGGUAAAUUCCAUCUAAAGCUAAAUAGAGGUGGGAGACCGAUAGCGAACAAGUACCGUGAGGGAAAGAUGCAAAGAACUUUGAAAAGAGAGUUAAAGAGUGCCUGAAAUUGCUGAAAGGGAAGCGAAGGAAGCCAGUGUCUGGCGGUUCUGCUUCUCCGAUGGUCCUCGGACCGUCGGGUUGCGCUUCCGCCGUGGCCAGGGUCGGGUUGGGCCGUGGGAACCGGCGUCCUCGGGAGGUACGUCUCUUCGGAGAUGGAAUACCGGGACGCUCUCUCCAGUCGCGGCCUUGGGCCGGUCCUGACGAAAUGGAUUUCUUCAC
rnacentral:rRNA from 1 species